UACGGAGGCCCCAAGCGUUGUUCGGAAUUACUGGGCGUAAAGGGAGUGCAGGUGGCAUAGUAAGUCAGAUGUGAAAUCCCUGGGCUUAACCCAGGACGUGCAUUUGAUACUGCUAUGCUUGAGUACGGUAGAGGAAGGUGGAAUUCCCGGUGUAGGGGUGAAAUCCGUAGAUAUCGGGAGGAAUACCAAUGGAGAAGUCAGCCUUCUGGCCCGUAACUGACACUGAGACUCGAAAGCGUGGGGAGCAAACAGG
rnacentral:misc_RNA from 1 species